rnacentral:rRNA from 1 species
GAUGAACGCUAGCGGAAGGCCUAAUACAUGCAAGUCGAACGGGCAUAUUGAUUUCGGUUAAUAUGUUAGUGGCGCACGGGUGAGUAACGCGUACACAACCUACCUUAUAUUGGGGGAUUGCCCUGGGAAACUGGGAGUAAUACCGCAUAACAUUAUAGAGAGGCAUCUUUUUAUAAUUAAAGCAUUUGCGAUAUAAGAUGGGUGUGCGUCUGAUUAGGUAGUUGGUAGGGUAACGGCCUACCAAGCCGACGAUCAGUAGGGGGUGCGAGAGCAUGGCCCCCCACACGGGUACUGAGACACGGACCGACUCCUACGGGAGGCAGCAGUAAGGAAUAUUGGUCAAUGGAGGCAACUCUGAACC